rnacentral:rRNA from 1 species
CCUACGGGUGGCAGCAGUAGGGAAUAUUGCUCAAUGGGCGUAACCCUGAAGCAGCAACGCCGCGUGGAGGAUGAAGGUUUUCGGAUUGUAAAAUCCUUUUGUUAGAGAAGAUAAUGACGGUAUCUAAAGAAUAAGCACGGGCUAACUCCGUGCCAGCAGCCGCUGUAAUACGGAGGGUGCAAGCGUUACUAGGAAUCACUGGGCGUAAAGAGCGAGUAGGCGGGAUAGCAAGUCAGAUGUGAAAUCCUAUGGCUUAACCAUAGAACGGCAUUUGAAACUGUUAUUCUAGAGUAUGGGAGAGGUAGGUGGAAUUCUUGGUGUAGGGGUGAAAUCCGUAGAGAUCAAGAGGAAUACUCAUUGCGAAGGCGACCUGCUAGAACAUAACUGACGCUGAUGCGCGAAAGCGUGGGGAGCGAACAGGAUUAGAUACCCGAGUAGUC